AAGUUCCCGCUAAACGACGUGCAUUAAUUGCAACCAGCCUCCGCGACGUAACACCUAACGGUGGUCCCGCGGAGGGGAGUGGUAAAAGAAGUGUGUGUGUGGGGUAGGUUUAGUACGUAGGCGCCACACAUGGCAAGUCGUGCAUGCCACUGGCACAGGCUAGUAGUAUCUAUGAAGGUUCCCACCUCCAGCUUGC
rfam:Glossina brevipalpis unplaced genomic scaffold Scaffold9, whole genome shotgun sequence.